rnacentral:lncRNA from 1 species
UGACAUUCAUUCCUCUCCAUUUCUUUCUCCUCACGAAGGUUUAGAAAUUUUGAAUUUGAAAUUUUUUCACUCGGCGCGCUAGUUGUUGCUUUGCACGCAUCAAGCGACCAUUACCCCAAAGUCAUCAACAAACUACAUUAUGGCUGCCCUUGCUUCGACACUCGCAAACUUCUCUCUCCGCAUUUGUUGUUGCUCCAACAUUCAUUCUGGCAUUCGUCAAGCGGUCGUUCUACCGCCAUCAUCGACGAAGCACAUCAAGGCCGUAAUAAAUGUGCUUUGUCGUCUGACCAGAGGAGGAGGGAGGGCCAUUUCUACCUGAGGUGGAGGGACGGGGGCAGAGAUCUGGCCAUGAUGGGGCAGGAGCAGAGCCUAAGGCACAUGUCCUGCCAUUAUAUGUUGCGGAGCCAAUCAACGAUUGGGCUCGAAUGACUAUGCGCUGCUCUCGAGACUCAGUCUCGAGAGGAGGUUGUUGACUGUCUAAACUUCGUCAUUUAAGGUGCGUCUGGGGCUUUCUUUUCUUGCCCUGUCUUUGCUGCUAUGUGUGGGAUGAAGGUUUUCCAUGGGCACGGUUGGUGUUCUUUGGUGUUGGGCUCUUCUUUUCAGUUUUUGAAUAAUGGAACCGAACAUUUAUUGUGAGA